rnacentral:rRNA from 1 species
AGAGUUUGAUUCUGGCUCAGAACGAACGCUGGCGGCGCGUUUUAAGCAUGCAAGUUGAAGGGUAAAUAUUUUAGCAAUAAGAUAUGAGACUAGCGUACGGGUGAGUAACGCGUAAGAAUCUGCCUCAAGAUGGGGGAUAGCCUUUAGAGAUAGAGGGUAAAACCGCAUAUGCCGGGAGGUGAAAGGCGCAAUUGUGCUGUCUUGAGAUGAUCUUGCGUUCCAUUAGCUAGUUGGUAGGGUAAAGGCCUACCAAGGCGACGAUGGAUAGCCGGCCUGAGAGGGUGUACGGCCACAUUGGGACUGAGACACGGCCCAGACUCCUACGGGAGGCAGCAGCUAAGAAUAUUCCGCAAUGGGAGAUAUCCUGACGGAGCGACGCCGCGUGAACGAAGAAGGCAGAAAUGUUGUAAAGUUCUUUUAUACGGGACGAAUAAGUAGAGUAGUGGAAAGAUUGUAUGAUGACGGUACCGUAUGAAUAAGCCACGGCUAACUACGUGCCAGCAGCCGCGGUAAUACGUAGGUGGCAAGCGUUGUUCGGAAUUACUGGGCGUAAAGGGCUUGUAGGUGGUUAUUUAAGUGUGAGUUAAAAUACCGAAGCUUAACUUCGAGUACGGCUUGCAAACUGGGUAGCUAGAGUGCAGGUGAGGAGACUGGAAUUCCGCGUGUAGGGGUGAAAUUUGUAGAUAUGCGGAAGAAUACCAGUGGCGAAGGCGAGUCUCUGGCCUGCAACUGACGCUGAAAAGCGAAAGUGUGGGGAGCAAACAGGAUUAGAUACCCUGGUAGUCCACACUGUAAACGUUGUACACUAGGCGUUAUAGGUAUCGACCCCUAUAGUGCCGAAGCAAUCGCGAUAAGUGUACCGCCUGGGGAGUAUGCUCGCAAGGGUGAAACUCAAAGAAAUUGACGGGGGCCCGCACAAGCGGUGGAGCAUGUGGUUUAAUUCGAUAUACGCGAAAAACCUUACCAGGGUUUGACAUUCAGAUGAUAGUUGCAGAGAUGCGACAUUCCCUUUUGGGACAUCUGGACAGGUGCUGCAUGGCUGUCGUCAGCUCGUGUUGUGAGAUGUUGGGUUAAGUCCCGCAACGAGCGCAACCCUUACUGUUAGUUGCCAUCAGGUAAAGCUGGGCACUUUAACAGAACUGCCGGUGACAAACCGGAGGAAGGUGGGGAUGACGUCAAGUCCUCAUGGCCCUUAUGUCCUGGGCUACACACGUGCUAC